UUUAAUAGCUAUAGUUUUAAAGUUUUCAGCAAACAAAGGUAAAAAAUUACUUCAAUAUUCAGCGAGUUAUAGUUGACUCUGCGCCUGGGCAACACAUUACACUGAGUGAGCUGUCAACCGCCCCAAGAUGGCGCCCCAAAUCUCGCGGGAUCUACUCUUACAUUAUGUCUACGACUGGAACUGUUUUACAAGUUUCGACAGAAAACAUAAGGCUUUGUUAAGACAAGCUGUAUAAAUAAUCUUAAUUCCUCUGGAGUUUAUUCGGCCAAUGAGCAUUAGUUCAUCCAGACCAGCGUCCAGUUAACAUACCUGGAGGUUCUGACCCGGUUCGGGUUCUCCAGCUGCUAUCCAGCAGUCUGAGCUGAUGCUCGGUCUCUUCCUCCUCCUGGACGAUGGUUCUGAAUAUUUAUUCAGCAGUUAGUCGCUCUCUGGUGAUGAAGCGAAGAUAUUGUUGCUGCAGACGCUGAAAUAUUCAGUUUA